GAGUUUGAUCCUGGCUCAGAGCGAACGCUGGCGGCAGGCUUAACACAUGCAAGUCGAGCGGGCGUAGCAAUACGUCAGCGGCAGACGGGUGAGUAACGCGUGGGAACGUACCUUUUGGUUCGGAACAACACAGGGAAACUUGUGCUAAUACCGGAUAAGCCCUUACGGGGAAAGAUUUAUCGCCGAAAGAUCGGCCCGCGUCUGAUUAGCUAGUUGGUGAGGUAAUGGCUCACCAAGGCGACGAUCAGUAGCUGGUCUGAGAGGAUGAUCAGCCACAUUGGGACUGAGACACGGCCCAAACUCCUACGGGAGGCAGCAGUGGGGAAUAUUGGACAAUGGGGGCAACCCUGAUCCAGCCAUGCCGCGUGAGUGAUGAAGGCCCUAGGGUUGUAAAGCUCUUUUGUGCGGGAAGAUAAUGACGGUACCGCAAGAAUAAGCCCCGGCUAACUUCGUGCCAGCAGCCGCGGUA
rnacentral:rRNA from 1 species